rnacentral:rRNA from 1 species
GCCUCUGAUAUACCAGUCUGAAAGUGCCUGAUCUCGUCAGAUCUCAGAAGUCAUGGAGACUUGUGCCUGCUUUGUACUUGUAUGGGAGACCAACUAGGAACCUCAGGUGCCGUAAGCU